UUAGCAUUUCCUCUGCACGCAUAGCCGUCCAAAGUCAUCUUGGUCUACUGGCCCUCGCACUUUGGUCAUAGGUGACUCCAUUACCCGAAAUAUUACGCUUAAAAAUCCAGCCACGGUAAUGUGUAUUCCUGGGGGCAGAGCACCCGACAUAGAAGCUAAUCUUAGGGAGCUGACUCGCAAUAGGUCUAGUCAACAGCGUAGUUCCAACAACACUAGCUACUCGGACAUAGUGAGACACGUCAGCUCCAAUGAUGUUAGGAUGAGGCAAUCGGAGAUCACAAAGAGAAACAUAGCGAGGACUUGUGAUCUCGCCAGAAAGAUGAGUCGGCAUCGAGUAUUUGUCUCUGGCCCCCUGCCUGGGAGAGGCACUGAUGAGAGGUUUAGUAGAUUAGUCUCCCUUAAUCGUUGGAUGGCUGGGUUCUGUAA